CGCGUGUACUGGUCCGGCCGGGCCUUUCCUUCUGGAGAUCCCCAUGCCCUUCACUGGGUGUGCGGGGGAACCAGGACUUUUACUUUGAAAAAAUUAGAGUGUUCAAAGCAGGCCUUUGCUCGAAUACGUUAGCAUGGAAUAAUAGAAUGGGACGUGCGGUCCUAUUUUGUUGGUUUCUAGGACCGCCGUAAUGAUUAAUAGGGAUAGUCGGGGGCAUCAGUAUUCAAUUGUCAGAGGUGAAAUUCUUGGAUUUAUUGAAGACUAACUACUGCGAAAGCAUUUGCCAAGGAUGUUUUCAUUAAUCAGUGAACGAAAGUUAGGGGAUCGAAGACGAUCAGAUACCGUCGUAGUCUUAACCGUAAACUAUGCCGACUAGGGAUCGGGCGAUGUUUUUUUCUUGACUCGCUCGGCACCUUACGAGAAAUCAAAGUUUUUGGGUUCUGGGGGGAGUAUGGUCGCAAGGCUGAAACUUAAAGAAAUUGACGGAAGGGCACCACCAGGCGUGGAGCCUGCGGCUUAAUUUGACUCAACACGGGGAAACUCACCAGGUCCAGAUGAAAUAAGGAUUGACAGAUUGAGAGCUCUUUCUUGAUUUUUCAGGUGGUGGUGCAUGGCCGUUCUUAGUUGGUGGAGUGAUUUGUCUGCUUAAUUGCGAUAACGAACGAGACCUUAACCUGCUAAAUAGCCAGGCUAGCUUUGGCUGGUCGCCGGCUUCUUAGAGGGACUAUCGG
rnacentral:rRNA from 1 species